rnacentral:rRNA from 1 species
UACGUAGGCAGCAAGCGUUGUUCGGAGUUACUGGGCGUAAAGGGCUCGUAGGUGGCCAACUAAGUCAGACGUGAAAUCCCUCGGCUUAACCGGGGAACUGCGUCUGAUACUGGAUGGCUUGAGUUCGGGAGAGGGAUGCGGAAUUCCAGGUGUAGCGGUGAAAUGCGUAGAUAUCUGGAGGAACACCGGUGGCGAAGGCGGCAUCCUGGACCGAUACUGACGCUGAGGAGCGAAAGCCAGGGGAGCAAACGGG